rnacentral:rRNA from 1 species
AACGAACGCUGGCGGCGUGCCUAACACAUGCAAGUCGAACGGAAUGAGGGGGCUUGCUCCUUCAUUUAGUGGCGCACGGGUGAGUAACGCGUAGAUAAUCUGCCUGACGAUCCGGGAUAACACUUCGAAAGAGGUGCUAAUACCGGAUAAGCCCACGGGUACUUUGGUAUCUGCGGGAAAAGGGGGGGACCUUUUGGCCUUCUGUCGUCAGAUGAGUCUGCGUACCAUUAGCUAGUUGGUAGGGUAAAAGCCUACCAAGGCGACGAUGGUUAGCUGGUAGGGGAGGAUGAUCAGCCACACUGGAACGGGGACACGGUCCAGUCUCCGACGGGAGGCAGCAGUGGGGAAUUUUGCGCAAUGGGCGAAAGCCUGACGCAGCAACGCCGCGUGAGUGAUGAAGGCUUUCGGGUCGUAAAGCUCUGUCAAUGGGAAAGAAGUGUAUUGGAGCUAAUAUCUCCGAUACUUGACGGUACCCAUAAAGGAAGCACCGGCUAACUCCGUGCCAGCCGCCGCAGUAAGAC